rnacentral:rRNA from 1 species
UACGUAGGGUGCGAGCGUUAAUCGGAAUUACUGGGCGUAAAGCGUGCGCAGGCGGUUAUGUAAGACAGUUGUGAAAUCCCCGGGCUCGACCUGGGAAUUGCAUCUGUGACUGCAUAGCUAGAGUACGGUAGAGGGGGAUGGAAUUCCGCGUGUAGCAGUGAAAUGCGUAGAUAUGCGGAGGAACACCGAUGGCGAAGGCAAUCCCCUGGACCUGUACUGACGCUCAUGCACGAAAGCGUGGGGAGCAAACAGG